CUGAGAUGAGGCCGAGGAGGUAAAACUAAGGAACUCUGCGAAAUAUUCUCAGAAGAAGGCAGUAUGUUUCCUUGCUGCUUUAUAAAACCGAUGAUAGGAAUUUUUCCUCUCUGCUGGAGCAUCACUGAACACUCAUCAUAGUGUAUCAAUUGCAACAAGAGGCACCACGUCCCAAGAGAAUCAUCUGUCCUCGGGAGGUGGAGAACAGGCCAAAGUAUUAUGGAAGAGAGU